rnacentral:rRNA from 1 species
UACGUAGGGGGGCAAGCGUUGUCCGGAAUUAUUGGGCGUAAAGCGCGCGCAGGCGGUCAUGUAAGUCUGGUGUUUAAUCCCGGGGCUCAACCUCGGAUCGCACUGGAAACUGUGUGACUUGAGUGCAGAAGAGGAGAGUGGAAUUCCACGUGUAGCGGUGAAAUGCGUAGAGAUGUGGGAGGAACACCAGUGGCGAAGGCGACUCUCUAGGCUGUAACUGACGCUGAGGCGCGAAAGCGUGGGGAGCAAACAGG